rnacentral:rRNA from 1 species
AACGAACGCUGGCGGCAGGCCUAACACAUGCAAGUCGAAGGAGAAGUUCCUUUCGGGGAAUGGACACUGGCGCACGGGUGAGUAACGCGUGGGAAUCUACCCCGGGGUGGGGAAUAACUGCUGGAAACGGCAGCUAAUACCGCAUACGCCGUAUUGGGAAAGCUUUAGCGCCCUGGGAUGAGCCCGCGUUAGAUUAGGUUGUUGGUGGGGUAAUGGCCUACCAAGCCUACGAUCUAUAGCUGGUCUGAGAGGAUGAUCAGCCACACUGGGACUGAGACACGGCCCAGACUCCUACGGGAGGCAGCAGUGGGGAAUAUUGGACAAUGGGCGAAAGCCUGAUCCAGCCAUGCCGCGUGAAUGAAGAAGGCCUUAGGGUUGUAAAGUUCUUUCACUGGUGAAGAUGAUGACUGUAGCCAGAGAAGAAGCCCCGGCUAACUCCGUGCCAGCAGCCGCGGUAAUACGGAGGGGGCAAGCGUUGUUCGGAAUUACUGGGCGUAAAGGGCGCGUAGGCGGAAUAUCAAGUUAGAGGUGAAAGGCCUGGGCUCAACCUAGGAACUGCCUUUAAAACUG